AACCUCCGCAAUGUGAGAAAUCGCGACGGGGGGAUCCCAAGUGCCAUUCUUAACGGGAUGGCUUUUCAUUAGUGUAAAGAGCUUUUGGAAUAAGAGCUGGGCAAGACCGGUGCCAGCCGCCGCGGUAACACCGCCAGCUCUAGUGGUAGCAGUUUUUAUUGGGCCUAAAGCGUCCGUAGCCGGUUUAAUAAGUCUCUGGUGAAAUCCUGUAGCUUAACUGUGGGAAUUGCUGGAGAUACUAUUAGACUUGAGAUCGGGAGAGGUUAGAGGUACUCCCAGGGUAGAGGUGAAAUUCUGUAAUCCUGGGAGACCGCCUGUUGCGAAGGCUUCUAACUGGAACGAUUCUGACGGUGAGGGACGAAAGUUGGGGCGCGAACCGGAUUAGAUACCCGGGUAGUCCCAACUGUAAACGAUGCGGACUUGGUGUUGGGGUGGCUUUGAGCUGCUCCAGUGCCGAAGGGAAGCUGUUAAGUCCGCCGCCUGGGAAGUACGGUCGCAAGACUGAAACUUAAGGAAU
rnacentral:rRNA from 1 species